GCUGAUAUGGCUCAGUUGGUAGAGCGCACCCUUGGUAAGGGUGAGGUCCCCAUUUUCAGCCUGGAUACAGAU
rnacentral:tRNA from 1 species